AUCUCUCUGUCCUCUCUCCCUUAUCUCUUUCUCUUCCGAUCUGAGCGGCGGCGGCGACGCUCGCAUCCGGCGAUGGUUCCACCACUCCGCCCAUCUCUUCCUCCCACCACUCCGUCCAUCUCUUCCUCCCACCACUCCAUCACCAUCCCCACAUCGCUGCUGAUUUCCCAUGUUGAGGUGGUCCUGCGGCGCCGAUGCCCUCACCCAGCUGCCGGUGGCGGCGCUUUUUGUUCUUGCCCAAGCGCUCGGUGAGGUCACCUCUCACCUCCCUCCUAUGGUGCCACCGCCCCAAGCCCCCAACCCAUAGGCAGCUCCCUCUUCCCCACUCCCAUGGUUGCAGAUCUGAGCGGGACAAGGUCCCUUCGGCCCUGGUGGUUCGGAACGAGGCAUGCGGCCUCUGCUCCCUUAACUUCUGGAGACUAGGGGCGCGGUGGCUGGUGCCCCAUCUCUCUUAGCCAUCCACAGCGGCAACAACAUCAGGUCAAACAAACUUCAUAGGUUUGGUUGAUGUUUGGGAAAUUACUCAACUACUAACAGAAGGCCACCGGAUGAUUUUUAUACCUGCAUCACAUCAAGUGGAUUUGGAUAUCACACAAGCUGGCAUGGUCUUCAUCAUGGAUUCAAUCUCCACACGAGUGGAGUGGACUCUGCCUUGUGCCGCAGCUGCGGACGGGCAGAGGAGACGACGACGUAGGGCACACGGAGCCAGCAACCCUAGAAGCCAUGAUGCCCAUGAACAAAAUUACCUGAAGGAUAGGAAACAGACUACCUGAUCUCAUGGAUGCAUGUAGUCUUUUUUUUCUGAUGCGUACAACAAGCGAUCAGGGCAUCAAGGGAUGCUUUCUCACGUUGGGCGUUUGGGCUGGAAAAUUCGUGCUAGGCCAUUAGUGUCAAACACUAAAAGAAACCAGGUUUGCACUUUACGUAUACGUACAGUUCAUAUCAGUACCAGGUAAUGAAAACUCACAGGGGGGCGAGGCGAUGGGGGGUGUCUGACCCCUGCUCGCACCCCCCGCCUCCGCCUUUGACCUAGAUUUGAUUAUUGUUUUAUCAUUGUGGUAGGUGACUAGCUAAAAUAAAUUUUGCAUAAUAAAUAUUAACCAUUAAAGAUGACCAGCCCCAUGAUUAAUAAGUGAGGCGGCUUACUUUGUUAAGUUUGAGGAUUGGUAAUAAAAUAGGUACUUAUCCUGGAACCACUAAAAUCCAGGAUACAUGAUUUUGGUGGUUCCAGGGUAAGUACCUAUUUUGUUAUUUCAGCAUUAUACAUGAUUAAUGCUUUGAAGGUAAGUGUAAUAAACACAUGAUUGCUGUACAUGAAUCCAUGAUUAUUUUCUUUGGGAGAUACUAUAUUUUUCUUUGUAAUAAGUGUAAUGAUUACAUCCAUUUAUGUGCAAUAACAUUGCAGAAUAUUCGAUAGAGAACUCAGCAAUCAAACCUACAUACAUGUUAACAUGUGAGGGUGCAACUGAAUAGCUGUACAUGAAUCUGGAACAAGAGGAAGAACCGAGGAUUCUUCAAGAAGCUGCUUCUAUUCGUGCACAAUGGCGUUGUAGUCAGGCUGAGAUGGAAAUUUUACGCUCACCGGAUUACAUUUUCACAUACUAAGAUAGGUUACAAUUGAAUGUCGAACAGUUAGUUGGACAUUUUGCAUCAGUCCUGGUACCACUUAGAAGAUAGAACAAGUCUAUAUCUCUGGAGAUUUUCUGAAGUUUUAAGUGUGUACCUAACCAAUUGAAUAUUAUAGAUGCAUUUGUUACUUCUACUUGACACCAUUGACACUCUGAAGUUUGCAGGGUUCAAUUGACACAUGGUGUGUAAGCAUUUGCCUAUCUACCUAAAGGGUAUGCUGGAGGGUUGCCAACAUCAAUGUGCUAUGUGCUGCAGAAAUGGAUUUUCAAAAACCUCUAGCACAUGGUGUCCUGGGAAUUCCUGGAUAUGUCGACCUGCUAGCUCAUUAUCA